GACGAACGCUGGCGGCGUGCCUAAUACAUGCAAGUCGAACGCAUUUUCUUUCACCGUAGCUUGCUACACCGAAAGAAAAUGAGUGGCGAACGGGUGAGUAACACGUGGGUAACCUGCCCAUCAGCGGGGGAUAACACUUGGAAACAGGUGCUAAUACCGCAUAAUUCCAUUUACCGCAUGGUAGAUGGGUGAAAGGCGCUUUUGCGUCACUGAUGGAUGGACCCGCGGUGCAUUAGCUAGUUGGUGGGGUAACGGCCUACCAAGGCUGCGAUGCAUAGCCGACCUGAGAGGGUGAUCGGCCACACUGGGACUGAGACACGGCCCAGACUCCUACGGGAGGCAGCAGUAGGGAAGCUUCGGCAAUGGACGCAAGUCUGACCGAGCAACGCCGCGUGAGUGAAGAAGGUUUUCGGAUCGUAAAACUCUGUUGUUAGAGAAGAACAAGGAUGAGAGUGGAAAGUUCAUCCCUUGACGGUAUCUAACCAGAAAGCCACGGCUAACUACGUG
rnacentral:rRNA from 1 species